rnacentral:rRNA from 1 species
UACGUAGGGCGCAAGCGUUGUCCGGAAUUAUUGGGCGUAAAGAGCGUGUAGGCGGCUUUACAGGUCCGUUGUGAAAACUCGAGGCUCAACCUCGAGACGCCGGUGGAAACCGUAAGGCUAGAGUCCGGAAGAGGAGAGUGGAAUUCCUGGUGUAGCGGUGAAAUGCGCAGAUAUCAGGAGGAACACCCGUGGCGAAAGCGGCUCUCUGGGACGGUACUGACGCUGAGACGCGAAAGCGUGGGGAGCAAACAGG